rnacentral:rRNA from 1 species
AAUUUUGCGCAAUGGGCGAAAGCCUGACGCAGCAACACCGCGUGAAUGUUAAGCCCUUCGGGGUGUAAAGUUCUGUCAGUGGGGACGAAUAAUGACGGUACCCACAAAGGAAGCACCGGCUAACUCCGUGCCAGCAGCCGCGGUAAUACGGGGGGUGCAAGCGUUGUCCGGAAUCAUUGGGCGUAAAGAGUUUGUAGGCGGUAUAUCAAGUCUGGCGUUAAAGCCCGGGGCUCAACUCCGGUUCGGCGCUGGAUACUGGUAAACUAGAAUGUGGUAGAGGUGAGGGGAAUUCCCAGUGUAGCGGUGAAAUGCGUAGAUAUUGGGAGGAACAUCGGUGGCGAAAGCGCCUCACUGGGCCAUUAUUGACGCUGAGAAACGAAAGCCGGGGGAGCAAAUGGG